CUGACUUUUAAGAAGGCUGCGUUUCUUCGAGGAACGUUCUCCAAAGCGAUAACCAUCCUGUGUCCUUGACUGGACUCAAUCUUCUGACUAUACCUCUAGCUCUCUCACUCUCAGUUCAUUGGCUUCUUUUGCUUCAGAUUGUUCUCUAUCCCUUUUCUUUUCUUUUUGCAAUUCUAAGAUUAGGGCAUCCCAUUCAUUUUUGUCGAUUCAUCCCAUUUUGCUUAUUAUUUCAGAAAGAGGAAUAAAGUAUUGAUUCGAUUUAAUUCAUUUUCCUUAUUGUUUCAGAACGAGGAAUGAAGUAUUGAUUCUCAGAAGAUAUGGCAACUAAAAUACAGCCAAAACGAUCAAAUCCGGUUGGAUAUAGAUUUCAUCCAACUGAUCAAGAACUCGUUGGGCAUUUUUUGAAUCGAAAAAUUCUUAAUCCUGAUGAUGAGAAGAUGCCAAUUGCUGAGCUUAAAGUAUGUGAUUUUGAACCUUGGGAACUUUCUGAUAAAUCGAAGAUAAAAUCAAAUGAUCAAGUUUACUAUUUCUUUUGUCCCCGUGAUUAU
rnacentral:misc_RNA from 1 species